CUGAAGGGAGGAGCCUUCAGAAAGGUCUCAUUUCAAGAAAGUCAUUCAAAUGCUUUAGCACGGCCUGUCAGGACGGGUUUGGGGGUAAUAUGCUUCAUGGUCGGGAAAAUCCCAUUGUCCACGCUUUCAGCCCGGACACCUCUCAUUGAUUUGGAGAAGACGUGUGCCACGGUUAGCUGCGGCUCUCAGAUAGAGGGACUGUCCCUCAGAAACCUUAAAAAAAAUAAAAUGAAGGACAAUGAAACCGAGGAGAAGCAGGAGAGCAUCUGUCGGUGGUCAAACAAUUGGGCAAGUGCUAGAGGUCACAGGCAGGUGAAAACUUCAUGGCUCAUCAUCGUCCCCCUUCCUCCCCAAUGACAGAAUGUAGGAAAUAGUGCAAACCCCAAGAUGUUGUGCAAUCGAGUCGCUGUGAACACGUGCAUUUUCC
rnacentral:lncRNA from 12 species